GCCCGUGUGGCAUAGUGGUUUGGGUGUUGGACUAUGACUCUGGAGACCAGGGUUCAAAUCUUAGCUCAGCCA